rnacentral:piRNA from 1 species
GUAAGUGCUGUUUUGGAUAGAGGAAG